rnacentral:rRNA from 1 species
AGCGUUGUUCGGAAUUACUGGGCGUAAAGCGCGCGUAGGCGGAUUAACAAGUUGGAUGUGAAAUCCCAAUGCUCAACAUUGGAACUGCAUUCAAAACUGUUAGUCUAGAGGCCAGGAGAGGUCAGUGGAAUACCGAGUGUAGAGGUGAAAUUCGUAGAUAUUCGGUGGAACACCAGUGGCGAAGGCGACUGACUGGACUGGUACUGACGCUGAGGUGCGAAAGUGUGGGGAGCAAACAGGAUUAGAUACCCUGGUAGUCCACGCCGUAAACGAUGGAUACUAGCUGUCCGGGUCCUUGAGACCUGGGCGGCCAAGCGAAAGUGAUAAGUAUCCCACCUGGGGAGUACGUUCGCAAGAAUGAAACUCAAAGGAAUUGACGGGGGCCCGCACAAGCGGUGGAGCAUGUGGUUUAAUUCGAUGAUACGCGAGGAACCUUACCAGGGCUUAAAUGCAUUUUGACAGGGGUGGAGACACCUUUUCCUUCGGGCAAUUUGCAAGGUGCUGCAUGGUUGUCGUCAGCUCGUGCCGUGAGGUGUCAGGUUAAGUCCUAUAACGAGCGCAACCCCUACCGUUAGUUGCCAGCAUGUCAUGAUGGGGACUCUAGCGGGACUGCCGGUGCAAACCGUGAGGAAGGUGGGGAUGACGUCAAAUCAUCACGGCCCUUACGUCCUGGGCCACACACGUGCUACAAUGGCAGGUACAGAGAGCAGCCACGUCGCAAGGCGGAGCGAAUCUAUAAAACCUGUCACAGUUCGGAUCGGGGUCUGCAACUCGACCCCGUGAAGCUGGAAUCGCUAGUAAUCGGAUAUCAGCCAUGAUCCGGUGAAUACGUUCCCGGGCCUUGUACACACCGCCCGUCAAGCCAUGGAAGCCGGGAGUGCCUGAAGUCCGUCACCGUAAGGAGCGGCCUAGGGCAAGAUCGGUAACUAGGGCUAAGUCGUAACAAGGUAGCCGUACCGGAAGGUGCGGCUG